UGACUGCCUGAGAAACAUGGAGCUUUGCCCUAUGUCAGGACAGAAGCUUGUAAUGUCAGUCUUUUCAGCUAUGUGCAUAGAGAGCUGCUAUCCUAAGAGGCAAGAUGAGACUGCUGGUGACAAAGAAGAUAAAAAUAAAACCCAAACAUGCCAAUUUAGGAAACACAGGAGUUUGGCACACAGGUUCUAGUAUCUUCAGAUACAGCUGGGAAAGACCCAUGAAUCUAGCCAUAAUAAGUGAAACCAUCCCUGUUCCUUGGGCCUACUAGUGUUCAGUACGCAAGCUCUCAGCCUACAGAAAAACUCCCCUCCUGGAAUAUCCAUGCUGAAGAAUUCUGUGUGACUUGGGAAGUUGACAUGCUGCACACAUUUUGUAUACAAGCUGCUGUGAAGAAGAGGGCCGGCUCUCCUUUCCCCUCUGUGCUUCUGGUGGGACCAACCCAGUGGCAAAGUCUUUAAUCUGCAAAUCAUUUGAGCAGCUCAGUGAAAAACAUACAAAACAUGCCUGUUUCGCUCUGGGUAAGUGCAGAACAAAGCUCUUUGCUAAGGGGUUAAAACUCAGUUGAGUGCUUUGUUUAGGCAGAUUAUGCAACAGGUGUUAAUCUCAUUUCAAGCAGCCUUUGGUCUGAAGGUUCUUCUAUUC